UACGAAGGGGGCUAGCGUUGUUCGGAUUUACUGGGCGUAAAGCGCACGUAGGCGGAUCGUUAAGUCGGGGGUGAAAUCCUGGAGCUCAACUCCAGAACUGCCUUCGAUACUGGCGAUCUUGAGUCCGGAAGAGGUGAGUGGAACUGCGAGUGUAGAGGUGAAAUUCGUAGAUAUUCGCAAGAACACCAGUGGCGAAGGCGGCUCACUGGACUGGUAUUGACGCUGAGGUGCGAAAGCGUGGGGAGCAAACAGG
rnacentral:rRNA from 1 species